CCUACGGGGAGCUGCAGUGGGGAAUAUUGGACAAUAGGCGAAAGCCUGAUCCAGCCAUGCCGCGUGUGUGAAGAAGGCCUUCGGGUUGUAAAGCACUUUCAGUGGGGAAGAAAGCCUUGGGGCUAAUACCCUCGAGGAAGGACAUCACCCACAGAAGAAGCACCGGCUAACUCCGUGCCAGCAGCCGCGGUAAUACGGAGGGUGCGAGCGUUAAUCGGAAUUACUGGGCGUAAAGCGCGCGUAGGCGGUCUGAUAAGCCGGUUGUGAAAGCCCCGGGCUCAACCUGGGAACGGCAUCCGGAACUGUCAGGCUAGAGUGCAGGAGAGGAAGGUAGAAUUCCCGGUGUAGCGGUGAAAUGCGUAGAGAUCGGGAGGAAUACCAGUGGCGAAGGCGGCCUUCUGGACUGACACUGACGCUGAGGUGCGAAAGCGUGGGUAGCAAACAGGAUUAGAUACCCUGGUAGUC
rnacentral:rRNA from 1 species